rnacentral:ncRNA from 2 species
ACUAACGUGGUUCGUGACCCUCCCACGCAAAAAAACUAAGGAGAA